rnacentral:rRNA from 1 species
GACGAACGCUGGCGGCGUGCUUAACACAUGCAAGUCGAACGGAAAGGCCCUGCGUUUGCGGGGUGCACGAUUGGGGAACGCGUGAGUAAAACGUGAGUAUCCCGUACUUGACUGUGGGAUAACAUCAGGAAACUGGGGCUAAUACCGGGUAGGAGCUCUUGCUGCAUGGGGGGGGAUGGAAAGUUUCGGCGGUGGGGGAUGGACUCGCGGCUUAUCAGCUUGUUGGGCGGGUAGUGGCUUACCAAGGCUUUGACGGGUAGCCGGCCUGAGAGGGUGACCGGCCACAUUGGGACUGAGAUACGGCGCAGACUCCUACGGGAGGCAGCAGUGGGGAAUAUUGCACAAUGGGCGGAAGCCUGAUGCAGCAACGCCGCGUGCGGGAUGACGGCCUUCGGGUUAUAAACCGCUUUCGCCUGUGACGAAGCGUGAGUGACGGUAAUGGGUAAAGAAGCACCGGCUAACUACGUG